GCCAGUUGUUCAAGGAUGCAUUUGUCAUGUUCUAGCACCUGGUGGGCUGCCGUCUAUGGGGUCGCACAGAGUCAGACACGACUGAAGUGACUUAGCAGCAGCAGCAGCUCUUCUUUUCUAGUUGUGUCACCAUCAUUGGCUGUAAAACUAAGCAGCUUACAACCAACAACCGUGAUCUUCUCAUCUGUGCCAACUCGGGUGGAGUAAGGAAGCAACUGUAGCAUCAAAGUUUCCUCAGGACUGAUGUCAAAAGAGCUAAAACUGCUUAAAAAAAAUAAGGCUCAAGAAUUUAAACCGACAAUACAACCCAAAGCAUUAUCAAUCUAAGGAGCAGACCACAAACUGUAAGGACCAUUUGAAUAUUAAUCUCAAGCAAUUUCCUUACCACUCCAUCUUGAUGAGCCAGUGCAUUCUUCAAUGGAGGCAGAUGGCAAAACAACAAAACCCAACUAACUACAAGCAAUUUAUGAUGACUAAAGAAUACAAUAUGAGUACACAGUUCUCUGAGGUUUAUGUUUGAUCCUACCCUAAAAUUUAAAACAUCAAGAGGAAUUCAAAAUGGUCAUGUAUGGAUGUGAGAGUUGGACUAUAAAGAAAGCUGAGCACUGAAGAAUUGAUGUUUUGAAUUGUGGUGUUGGA
ensembl:lncRNA